GGAGGAGGGUGCCCAACUCGAGAUCAGCUUGUAAGUGUUCUUUAUCUAUUGCAGAUUUCGAUAUGGAGGAGGAGGAGGAGGAAAAGGAGGAGAAGAAAAUGAAGAUGAUGUUAUGAAGGGUAAAACAGAUGAAAGAUAUGAAUAUGAAUGGGGAAAAAAAAUAGUAAAUUAGAAGGCAGGAAGGUAAAGGAUGGAGGAGGAGUGUGAGACGAAGGGAUUAGCGAGCUACGCCGAGAAGAGGAAAAGGAUUUGAUACCAACUGCUCGAUAAGCUCCUCACAUCUUAUACCCAUUUUUUUUUUCAUCUACAUCGACUUCUUGUAGAAAGAAAAGGAGAGCGGCAGGUAAAUAAGUCUCUCAUUCAUUUGUUGUUGUUAAAAAAUUGCUCCCUCCCUAGAGGAGCACGGGUCUUUGCCAAUGGCGACCCGUAGCAGAGUGCCGGCAGAUCGACUCUAUCGUCUGACGUAAGCCGAGCCGACCAAGUCGAUCUGUCGACGAGUACUGGCGUGUCUCUGUCUCCUUCAUUUGUAUCCCCGCAGAUCACUGGAUAAAUAAAUUACUUUGGAGAAUAAUAUAAAGGAAAAUCUUCAAUGAAAUUAAAGAAAACUUGCAGCAUAUUGAAGCCCCCGCAUCAAGAGAUUUUUGGUGUUGUUAUUUUUCGCAACAAUUUUUUUUCCUCGUUUCACGCGACAUUUUUGGCAUGAGAAAUAACCUUUAUCCAGACGCGUUUCAGGGCUACAGAGUAAAAUAAAACUGGAAGAAAGUUAAGAGAAAAGAAAGGGCAAAGCAGGAGAAAGGAGGAGGACAGGGAUGAAGAGGAUGAUGUCCCAAUUAAGGUUAGCACUCGAAGCAAACUCUUUACUAAAUUGUUUUUAUGGUUUAUUGCGAUGCUUGACCUUGUCACCUUGGACAUAAAGGGAAAAUGGUAAACUGGUGCAAUAUUGUUACUUCUACAAAUGUGCACGCAGAAUUAAUUUAGUUUCCUUUAAUAAGCAGUUUUUUCCUUAUUUUUUAUCCAUUAUAAAUGUACGUCUCCUCAACUGUGUCAGCGGCACAGUAUUAUAGCGAGACAACUUCUUUUUUAAUCUUUAACCCCACAAUAAGUGGUGCACGUCUGACGAGAAAACAAAUCUUGACAAAGCCAUGCCUGGCCUUUUUAAGCAAUAAUCCGAGGAACAGUUGCCAUAGCCAUGCCAUGGUCGUGCAUGUCUUAUAAGAAACGAGCUUAAUAUCUACGUUUUCUUCAAGAAAGUAUAAGAGAAUAUGCUUCAUUUCAAUUGAGAAGUUUAUAACGAUGCCAAACAUUUUUAAUUAUGCAUUAUUGAUUCAUUAAUCUUAAUUUCAUGAUUUAUUCCAUUCCAGUAAAUUUUCCUUCACUCAAAGCUCGCCUUCUGCAGACAUUUUCCACAACUGUUCCUCGUUUACAUCAGUGACCGGCUGGCGUGGCGCACGUGAAGUGGCUCACAAUCCAUCAGUGUUGAGUAGUGCUUAUCCUCCUAAGGAAAACCCUGUCAGAUCCUGCUGUGUAUACUUGACAGACUGUGAUUACACAAAUCUCGGCAAAGUAAAUGUUUAGAAAUUAGUUCUCCCUUCAGGGCCAAGAUAUACGUCGGCAUUUUUCAUAUUAUUCAUGUGACCUUAAACUCUGGGUCGUUUUCAGGGAUUUUUCACAAAGCUCUCAGUGCUGAAACUAAACAAGAGCUGCAGUGUCCCAAGAGCACAUCAGUGGUCUAUGUGCUCUUGGUGUUAACCGUCAGGUUUCCAAGGAAGUAUCAUAUGAUCACGUAACUGAUACCACUACAGCCUGCAAGACCAUAAGAAGAUGCUCCAUUUUUUUAAAGGAGCUGGUUCGCUUAUUGCCAAAAUAUCUACAGUAAUGUGAUGCUAUUAACAGCAUUUUUUUAUUGUGAAUUUGUGUACAGUAUAUACUAAAGUGACACGUCGGUGUGUAUACAUAUUUCAGUAUCUCCUUUAUCUGAUAAGAGCACUUGCUGGAAUCCAGAAUAUUUUUUCUUUAUCAGGAGGGAGUGGCUCCUG